ACGAGUUGGACACAAUUGAAAAAUGACUGAACUGAAUCUCAGGUGAAAAUUCACAGCAUCAGGAAAUAGAGUAACUUAUGUGAGGAACACAAGGAGGCCAGUAUCACUGGAUCAAAGAGCAUAUGAGGAAAGAUUGAAGAUUUGCAGAGCCAAGGAAUGGAGAGCACAGGUGGUGAAGGGGAGAUGGAAAACAGUUGAGAGGAGGGGAAGCAGAUGAGGCAAACUGUUCCUCUGUACCACACAUGAGUGCCAACCAGCAGCAAGGAAGCUUCUCUUCAAUUGAAUUCCCAUGGAACAUGAUGAUGAUGUUAGCUAAAUAUGCUACCUACCUGAAAUCUCAUCAGCAUGCUCUUUAAUUUAGCUUUGGACAGUCAACAUUUCCUCAGGUUUCUCUAUCUACUGAUUGGAAGGCUGGAAUGUAGAAGUUCUUCCAGAGUCUUCCUUUAUUGAACACUAAAUCUAAAUUCUCCAGUUAAUUCUCUACUCUCCAUCUGCAACUCCUCUUCAGUUGAACUCCCAUGGAACAUAAUGUCGUACUCCAGAUAUGCUAAUCACCUGAAAUCUCAUCAUGAUGCUCUUCAAUUCAGCUUUAGAUAGUCAACAUUUUCCAGGUUCCUUUGUCCACUGAUUGGCGGGUUAGAGUGUAGAAGCUCCCUCAAAGCCUUCCUUUAUAGAACAAUAAAUCUGGACUCUCCACUAACUUUCAAUCCACAGUUCUGAUUCAGUCGAAUUCCAAGGAACAUAAUUCCCCUGGUGUUUUCUUCAACCCCAACAGCCUUUUUUUGUGUGUUGUCUUCUCUUAGAUUAUAAACACCUUGAGGGCAGGAACUAUAUUUCUUUUCUUAUUUGUAUCCCCUGGACUUGUUAUUGUUGUUUGUCUUUUGUUCUCAAAGAGAUUCAUUACAUCAGCAAGGUGAUGCCAUGACAUGUAAAUGAAUUGGAUUUAAGUUAGGGCAAGGUUACCUGUCUCACUUUCCCCUCCAGAGCCAUCUGGAUUCAAUGGCCAGAUAGAAAUCAAGAUGACUGGAGAUAUCCUUGGAUGCACUGGGACACCUUGGCCUUUUUGCCUGGUACAGGAGCUUAAUAAAUGUUUGGCCAAUGAGUUGGACAAAUAGAUUAAAAAAAAAAAAAAAAAGAAUCACAGAAGAGCAGUGUUAUAGAAAGCAAAUAAGGAGAGGAUAGUAAUAGUUUCAAAAACUGAAGCAAAGCCAAAAAGGAUAAGGAUAUCAGAUUUAACAGUUAAGAGAUCAUGAAUUAACAAAAAGAAAAGUCCUAUUUAUAGCAAUACUUUUGUGGUAGUAAAAAAAAUUGGAAACAAAAUAAAUGCCAAUUGUGAAAUGGCCAAACAAUUUGUGAUAUAAGAAUAUAAUAAAAUAAUGUCCUGCUAAGAAAUAAUGAAUAUGAUUACAGAGAACCAUAGGAAAAUUUAUAUAAACUGAUGCAAAGCAAUCAAAACCAGAAAAGCAAUAUACGUGACUGCAGCAACAUAAAUGAGAAAACCACUACCACAACAACAUCAAAGCUGAAUACUACAAAAUUAUAAUCAUAGAACUUAGCUCCAA